rnacentral:rRNA from 1 species
UCUCCAGACUCCUACGGGAGGCAGCAGUGGGGAAUAUUGGGCAAUGGGCGCAAGCCUGACCCAGCAACGCCGCGUGAAGGAAGAAGGCUUUCGGGUUGUAAACUUCUUUUAAGAGGGAAGAGUAGAAGACGGUACCUCUUGAAUAAGCCACGGCUAACUACGUGCCAGCAGCCGCGGUAAUACGUAGGUGGCAAGCGUUGUCCGGAUUUACUGGGUGUAAAGGGCGUGUAGCCGGGCUGACAAGUCAGAUGUGAAAUCCGGGGGCUCAACCCCCGAACUGCAUUUGAAACUGUUGGUCUUGAGUAUCGGAGGGGCAGGCGGAAUUCCUAGUGUAGCGGUGAAAUGCGUAGAUAUUAGGAGGAACACCGGUGGCGAAGGCGGCCUGCUGGACUGCAACUGACGUUGAGGCCCGAAAGCGUGGGGAGCAAACAGGAUUAGAUACCCGGGUA